UAAGCCGGGGCAGUGGGGGUUCAAGGGAGAAACAGACAGAAGAAACACAGAAAGUGGUUCUAUAGAGGAGGGGAGCUUUAGAAGAUGAGAACGAUUUCAAUCUGUGGAGGAUGGGGACUUUCCAGACUGAGACAAUGUUAUCUGCAAAUGAAUGGACGUGGGAGAGGCGGAAGAUUUUUCAGAGGUUUUGCAUUCUAGACUGGCUGGAUCAUGGUUUUUGGAGACAGGCCUGGAAAUGGAGUGUGGCGCUAGAAGAGAAGAACUUCGUUUCCAGUUUCUGAGAGCACUAAUUCGGUCAUGAGACAGAUGUCUGAUUUCCGCGUGGGGUGGAGUGGGACGAGGUGAUAGUGCGGAGCAAAUAAACCUCCCCUCUAGGGCCUGUGGAUAUGUGCAGCCUUCCUUCAAUUUCAGAUCCACGGUCAGCAUCACAAGACGCAUGAAAGAGGACUCAUCGCCAGGGCAUGGAGCUGGUGUUUUGAUCAAAAUGGAAUUUGCUCUCAAAUAGACAUGUAUUCACUAAUCUCCUUUCUUUUAAAUAAGUAAAUAAAACAAACACAAAAUCUCUUCCAGCUCAGCUGACUAAGUCCUAGUGGGGAUGACAGCAACAUUCACUUGCAAGAUCCCACAGAGCUAGUGUCCAAAAUAAAAAUA